rnacentral:rRNA from 1 species
AGUGAACGCUGGCGGUAGGCCUAACACAUGCAAGUCGAACGGCAGCACAGUAAGAGCUUGCUCUUACGGGUGGCGAGUGGCGGACGGGUGAGGAAUACAUCGGAAUCUACUUUUUUGUGGGGGAUAACGUAGGGAAACUUACGCUAAUACCGCAUACGACCUACGGGUGAAAGCAGGGGAUCUUCGGACCUUGCGCGAUUGAAUGAGCCGAUGUCGGAUUAGCUAGUUGGCGGGGUAAAGGCCCACCAAGGCGACGAUCCGUAGUUGGUCUGAGAGGAUGAUCAGCCACACUGGAACUGAGACACGGUCCAGACUCCUACGGGAGGCAGCAGUGGGGAAUAUUGGACAAUGGGCGCAAGCCUGAUCCAGCCAUACCGCGUGGGUGAAGAAGGCCUUCGGGUUGUAAAGCCCUUUUGUUGGGAAAGAAAAGCAGCAGGUUAAUACCCCGCUGUUCUGACGGUACCCAAAGAAUAAGCACCGGCUAACUUCGUG